GCUUGACACUGAACAUUGAGCCUUGAUGUGUAGGAUAGGUGGGAGGCUUUGAAGUGUGGACGCCAGUCUGCAUGGAGCCGACCUUGAAAUACCACCCUUUAAUGUUUGAUGUUCUAACGUGGACCCGUAAUCCGGGUUGCGGACAGUGUCUGGUGGGUAGUUUGACUGGGGCGGUCUCCUCCUAAAGAGUAACGGAGGAGCACGAAGGUUGGCUAAUCCUGGUCGGACAUCAGGAGGUUAGUGCAAUGGCAUAAGCCAGCUUGACUGCGAGCGUGACGGCGCGAGCAGGUGCGAAAGCAGGUCAUAGUGAUCCGGUGGUUCUGAAUGGAAGGGCCAUCGCUCAACGGAUAAAAGGUACUCCGGGGAUAACAGGCUGAUACCGCCCAAGAGUUCAUAUCGACGGCGGUGUUUGGCACCUCGAUGUCGGCUCAUCACAUCCUGGGGCUGAAGUAGGUCCCAAGGGUAUGGCUGUUCGCCAUUUAAAGUGGUACGCGAGCUGGGUUUAGAACGUCGUGAGACAGUUCGGUCCCUAUCUGCCGUGGGCGCUGGAGAACUGAGGGGGGCUGCUCCUAGUACGAGAGGACCGGAGUGGACGCAUCACUGGUGUUCGGGUUGUCAUGCCAAUGGCACUGCCCGGUAGCUAAAUGCGGAAGAGAUAAGUGCUGAAAGCAUCUAAGCACGAAACUUGCCCCGAGAUGAGUUCUCCCUGACUCCUUGAGAGUCCUGAAGGAACGUUGAAGACGACGACGUUGAUAGGCCGGGUGUGUAAGCGCAGCGAUGCGUUGAGCUAACCGGUACUAAUGAACCGUGAGG
rnacentral:rRNA from 1 species